UACGUAGGAGGCAAGCGUUGUCCGGAAUUACUGGGUGUAAAGCGCGUGUAGGCGGCAGGCCAAGUCUGUGGUGAAAUCGCUCGGCUCAACUGGGCGGGGUCCAUGGAAACUGGUCGGCUGGAGGACGGUAGAGGUGAGUGGAAUUCCCGGUGUAGUGGUGAAAUGCGUAGAGAUUGGGAAGAACAUCCGUGGCGAAAGCGCUCUGCUGGACUGCAACUGACAUUGAGGGACGAAAGCUAGGGGAGCGAAUGGG
rnacentral:rRNA from 1 species